rnacentral:rRNA from 1 species
AACGAACGCUGGCGGCGUGCCUAACACAUGCAAGUCGUGCGAGAAAAGGGGGGCAACUCCCUGAGUAAAGCGGCGCACGGGUGAGUAACACGUAGGUAAUCUCCCCUCGAGCCCGGGAUAACCCACCGAAGGUAGAGCUAAUACCGGAUAGGACCACGUCGGUCACGGCCGAUGCGGUGAAAGAUGGCCAAUGCUUGCAAGCUAUCACUUGAGGAUGAGCCCUGCGCGCCAUUAGCUAGUUGGCGGGGUAAUGGCCCACCAAGGCGAUGAUGGCUAGCUGGUCUGAGAGGAUGGCCAGCCACACUGGGACUGAAACACGGCCCAGACUCCUACGGGAGGCAGCAGUGGGGAUAUUGCGCAAUGGGCGAAAGCCUGACGCAGCGACGCCGCGUGGGUGAUG